rnacentral:rRNA from 1 species
CCUACGGGUGGCAGCAGUGGGGAAUAUUGGACAAUGGGCGAAAGCCUGAUCCAGCCAUGCCGCGUGUGUGAAGAAGGCCUUCGGGUUGUAAAGCACUUUCAGUGGGGAAGAAAGCCUUGGGGCUAAUACCCUCGAGGAAGGACAUCACCCACAGAAGAAGCACCGACUAACUCCGUGCCAGCAGCCGCGGUAAUACGGAGGGUGCGAGCGUUAAUCGGAAUUACUGGGCGUAAAGCGCGCGUAGGCGGUCUGAUAAGCCGGUUGUGAAAGCCCCGGGCUCAACCUGGGAACGGCAUCCGGAACUGUCAGGCUAGAGUGCAGGAGAGGAAGGUAGAAUUCCCGGUGUAGCGGUGAAAUGCGUAGAGAUCGGGAGGAAUACCAGUGGCGAAGGCGGUCUUCUGGACUGACACUGACGCUGAGGUGCGAAAGCGUGGGUAGCAAACAGGAUUAGAUACCCUAGUAGUC